ensembl:snRNA U2 U2 spliceosomal RNA
AUUUUUUCUUGGACAUUUGGUUAAGAUCAAGUGUAGUAUCUGUUCUUAUCAGUUUAAUAUCUGAUAUGUCCUCUAUCUGAGGACAGUAUCUUAAAUGGAUUUUUGGAGCAGGGAGAUGGAAUAGGAGCUUGCUCCAUCCACACCAUCCAUUGACCUGGUAUCGCAGUACCUCCAGGAAUGGUGCACCCCUC